GGAGGGCGCGAGCGUUAUUCGGAAUCAUUGGGCGUAAAGCGCGUGUAGGCGGCUGGGCAAGUCGGAUGUGAAAGCCCGGGGCUCAACCCCGGAAUUGCAUUCGAAACUGCCCAGCUAGAGUCUCGGAGAGGAGGGCGGAAUUCCCGGUGUAGAGGUGAAAUUCGUAGAUAUCGGGAGGAACACCAGUGGCGAAGGCGGCCCUCUGGACGAUGACUGACGCUGAGACGCGAAAGCGUGGGGAGCAAACAGGAUUAGAUACCCUGGUAGUCCACGCCGUAAACGUUGGGUGCUAGGUGUCGCGGGUAUUGACCCCCCUGCGGUGCCGUCGUUAACGCAUUUAGCACCCCGCCUGGGGAGUACGGUCGCAAGACUA
rnacentral:rRNA from 1 species